UACGGAGGGAGCUAGCGUUAUUCGGAAUUACUGGGCGUAAAGCGCACGUAGUCGGACUAUUCAGUCAGGGGUGAAAUCCCGGGGCUCAACCCCGGAACUGCCCUUGAUACUGGUAGUCUUGAGUUCGAGAGAGGUGAGUGGAAUUCCGAGUGUAGAGGUGAAAUUCGUAGAUAUUCGGAGGAACACCAGUGGCGAAGGCGGCUCACUGGCUCGAUACUGACGCUGAGGUGCGAAAGCGUGGGGAGCAAACAGG
rnacentral:misc_RNA from 1 species